AUUGAACGCUGGCGGCGUGCCUAACACAUGCAAGUCGAGCGGUAACAGGUGUAGCAAUACAUGCUGACGAGCGGCGGACGGGUGAGUAACGCUUGGGAAUCUGCCUGUUAGUGGGGGACAACCCGGGGAAACUCGGGCUAAUACCGCAUACGCACUACGGUGGAAAGCCGGGGACCGCAAGGCCUGGCGCUAACAGAUGAGCCCAAGUCGGAUUAGCUAGUUGGUAGGGUAACGGCCUACCAAGGCGACGAUCCGUAACUGGUCUGAGAGGACGACCAGUCACACCGGAACUGAGACACGGUCCGGACUCCUACGGGAGGCAGCAGUGGGGAAUAUUGGACAAUGGGCGAAAGCCUGAUCCAGCGACGCCGCGUGGGUGAAGAAGGCCUGCGGGUUGUAAAGCCCUUUCGGUGGGAAGAAAAGCCUCGAGUUAACACCUCGGGGUCUUGACGUAACCCAUAGAAGAAGCACCGGCUAACUCUGUGCCAGCAGCCGCAGUAAU
rnacentral:rRNA from 1 species